rnacentral:rRNA from 1 species
CCUACGGGAGGCAGCAGUGAGGAAUAUUGGUCAAUGGACGAGCGUCUGAACCAGCCAAGUAGCGUGAAGGAUGACUGCCCUAUGGGUUGUAAACUUCUUUUAUAUGGGAAUAAAAUGUUCCACGUGUGGGAUUUUGUAUGUACCAUAUGAAUAAGGAUCGGCUAACUCCGUGCCAGCAGCCGCGGUAAUACGGAGGAUCCGAGCGUUAUCCGGAUUUAUUGGGUUUAAAGGGAGCGUAGGUGGAUUGUUAAGUCAGUUGUGAAAGUUUGCGGCUCAACCGUAAAAUUGCAGUUGAAACUGGCAGUCUUGAGUACAGUAGAGGUGGGCGGAAUGCGUGGGGUAGCGGUGAAAUGCUUAGAUAUCACGAAGAACUCCGAUUGCGAAGGCAGUUCACUGGACUGCAACUGACACUGAGGCUCGAAAGUGUGGGUAUCAAACAGGAUUAGAUACCCCAGUAGUC